rnacentral:lncRNA from 1 species
CUGCUCUACUCCACCAAAACAUGGAGCGGUUUGCUUCCACAGUGAAAUGUCUCACAGAUGAUCUGCUGCACAAACAGCCUGCAGAUUAUGAUGAGGUGAUAGAGAAACUCUUCUCUGAGGUCUCUGGUCUGGAGGAUUUCCCCAAAAUACCAGAUCCACAGCUUGAGGAGUGUGCCAUCCAGCUGUGGAACUGGGCAGUUACUAAGAAUGUGGGCAGCACUAUAAAUACAAAUCAGAAAGCAAAAGUGCGUCAUGUCGCAUGCAGUCUGCUGUGCUGCUGUGUGCCUGAGAAUCCAACAGAGGGCAUCAUCCGU